rnacentral:rRNA from 1 species
UACGUAGGGUGCGAGCGUUAAUCGGAAUUACUGGGCGUAAAGUGUGCGCAGGCGGCCGCGCAAGUCGAGUGUGAAAGCCCCGGGCUUAACUUGGGAAUUGCGCUCGAAACUACGUGGCUGGAGUGUGGCAGAGGAAGGUGGAAUUCCACGUGUAGCGGUGAAAUGCGUAGAGAUGUGGAGGAACACCGAUGGCGAAGGCAGCCUCCUGGGCCAACACUGACGCUCAUGCACGAAAGCGUGGGGAGCAAACAGG